AUUGAACGCUGGCGGCAGGCCUAACACAUGCAAGUCGAACGAGUGGCGGACGGGUGAGUAAUGUCUGGGAAACUGCCUGAUGGAGGGGGAUAACUACUGGAAACGGUAGCUAAUACCGCAUACCAUAAGAUGUGCCCAGAGUGGAUUGGCUUGGUGGUGGGGUAACUGCUAACCAAGGCGGCGGGCCCUAGCUGGUCUGAGCGGAUGACCGUCCACACUGGAACUGAUACACGGUCCAGACCCCUACGGGAGGCAGCAGUGGGGAAGAUUGCACAAUGGGCGCAAGCCUGAUGCAGCCAUGCCGCGUGUAUUAAGAAGGCCUUCGGGUUUUAAAGUACUUUCAGCGGGGAGGCGUUACCCGCAGAAGAAGCACCGGCUAACUCCGUGCCAGCCGCCGCGGUAAUAC
rnacentral:rRNA from 1 species